GCCUACAGCCAUACCACCCUGAGAACGCCCGAUCUCGUCUGAUCUCGGAAGCUAAGCAGGGUCGGGCCCGGUUAGUACUUGGAUGGGAGACCGCCUGGGAAUACCGGGUGCUGUAGGCU
rnacentral:rRNA from 1 species